rnacentral:rRNA from 3 species
GAUGAACGCUAGCGGCAGGCCUAACACAUGCAAGUCGAGGGGUAACAGGGAUUGCUUGCAAUCCGCUGACGACCGGCGCACGGGUGCGUAACGCGUAUGCAACCUACCUUUUACAGGGGUAUAGUCAAGAGAAAUUUUGAAUAACACCCCAUACGAUCAUUUUUACACCUGUAAAGAUGAAGAAAACUCCGGUGGUAAAAGAUGGGCAUGCGUCCUAUUAGUUAGUUGGUGAGGUAACGGCUCACCAAGACCGCGAUAGGUAGGGGUCCUGAGAGGGAGAUCCCCCACACUGGUACUGAGACACGGACCAGACUCCUACGGGAGGCAGCAGUGAGGAAUAUUGGACAAUGGAGGCAACUCUGAUCCAGCCAUGCCGCGUGCAGGAAGACUGCCCUAUGGGUUGUAAACUGCUUUUAUACAGGAAGAAACCUUGGUACGUGUACCAAGCUGACGGUACUGUAAGAAUAAGGAUCGGCUAACUCCGUGCCAGCAGCCGCGGUAAUACGGAGGAUCCAAGCGUUAUCCGGAAUCAUUGGGUUUAAAGGGUCCGCAGGCGGUCUUUUAAGUCAGAGGUGAAAUCCUAUCGCUCAACGAUAGAACUGCCUUUGAUACUGAAAGACUUGAGUUAUUGUGAAGUGGUUAGAAUAUGUAGUGUAGCGGUGAAAUGCAUAGAUAUUACAUAGAAUACCGAUUGCGAAGGCAGAUCACUAACAAUACACU